GUACAACUUUCAGCAAUGGAUGUCUAGGCUCCCACA
rnacentral:rRNA from 1 species